UAUCUCCCACUGCAGGAAAGCAACAACCUCCUACGUAGACGCCUACGGAAUGCUCCCUCCCCAGCCUUUUCUACAGGGCUGACCUACACUUCCACCAGACUCUCUAGAACCCGCAGCGACCAGUUACGGAUUGAACUCACUUCCCUAACUUCCAGGUCUGGCCCUCCACGCCCCGCCCCCUCUCCCGCAGAGGUUACUACGGAGGGCGGUGUCUCUACCCACAACAGAAGGCGCCCUUCCGGCGCUUCCUGAUGACGUCGAACCCGCGUCCUUGGCGCGGCCAUGUGUGAAGCCUGACGCACAGGAGACACAGCGGACGUUUUUCCAAAUUGAAAGGCCAGCGGGAGUGACCCUGCGAGAACAAUGAAAGGGUCCCUCUCCAGGUGCUUACCCUCUAACGGAAAGUGGGAGAGAUCGUCCAGGCUCUAGGUCGCACAAGGCAAACAAGGCGUUUGGGUAAAUCCCACCGAGCACCGAAAGACGAUCGCUUCUAGUCGCCUGCGGCAAUUAACUCAAGUUUCAAAGGCCAGAACUCGCCACCACCGCUGUAACGGCAAACGGGAAACACCAAAAGGCACCUAGGACUUGGAAGCUGAAAGCAAACUUUAUUUACAUGGACGGGCCUGGUCGGGGUAGUUCCUCAAAGAACCAGGCAACUUGCUUUUUGUUCUUCUACAGUUUAUAUAGGGUUUUUGUAAGUAGGAACUGUGAGACCAAAAGUGAACCUAAGCAAGCCAUCUUGGCCUGUUCAUGGUUUCUUAGAAGGAGAUCCUUACUGAACCAAGACCUGUUCUUAUCUGAUAGGAGCCCAAUGAUAUUUGAUGAUGGCUGGGGAGUUACAGAAGUUAUUUGCCAUGUUUUCCAAUAUACAAGGAAAUCGAACUUCUGGAUGGGGCCUCUCCCACAAUCACUGCA
rnacentral:lncRNA from 1 species